rnacentral:rRNA from 1 species
UACGAAGGGGGCUAGCGUUGCUCGGAAUCACUGGGCGUAAAGGGUGCGUAGGCGGGUCUUUAAGUCAGGGGUGAAAUCCUGGAGCUCAACUCCAGAACUGCCUUUGAUACUGAGGAUCUUGAGUUCGGGAGAGGUGAGUGGAACUGCGAGUGUAGAGGUGAAAAUUCGUGAGAUAUUCGCAAGAACACCAGUGGCGAAGGCGGCUCACUGGCCCGGUAC